UACGAAGGGUGCAAACGUUGCUCGGAAUUAUUGGGCGUAAAGAGCUCGUAGGCGGUGUGUCGCGUCGGCCGUGAAAACCUGCAGCUUAACUGUGGGCUUGCGGUCGAUACGGGCAUCACUGGAGUUCGGCAGGGGAGACUGGAAUUCUGGUGUAGCGGUGAAAUGCGCAGAUAUCAGGAGGAACACCGGUGGCGAAGGCGGCAUCCUGGACCAACACUGACGCUGAGGAGCGAAAGCCAGGGGAGCAAACGGG
rnacentral:rRNA from 1 species